rnacentral:piRNA from 1 species
UAACAAUGUUUUGGUUCUAGGAGCUUGCC